UACAGAGGUCUCAAGCGUUUGUUCGGAUUCAUUGGGCGUAAAGGGUGCGUAGGUGGCGCUGUAAGUCGGGUGUGAAAAUUUCGGGAGCUUUAACGUCCGAAACUGCAUUCGGAUACUGCGGGUGCUUGAGGAACUUGGAGAGGAGACUGGAAAUUCAUGGUGUAGCAGUGAAAUGCGUAGAGAUCAUGAGGAGACCAGUGGCGAAGGCGGGUCUCUGGACAGUUCCAUGACACUGAGGCAACGGAAGGCCAGGGGAGCAAACGGG
rnacentral:rRNA from 1 species